rnacentral:tRNA from 1 species
GGAAAGUUGUCCGAGUGGUUUAUGGUGCACGCUUGGAAAGCGUGUGAACGUUAAUAGCGUUCCGGGGGUUCGAAUCCCCCAUUUUCCG